GUGUCAGCCGCCGCGUUAAGACGUAGGAUGCGAGCGUUGUUCGGAUUUAUUGGUCGUAAAGCGUACGUAGGCGGCUGUCUAAGUCUGGUGUUAAAGCUAGGGGCUCAACCCCUGUGAUGCACUGGAAACUGGGCGGCUUGAGAACGGUAGGGGAAGGUAGAAUUCCGAGUGUAGCGGUGAAAUGCGUAGAUAUUCGGAAGAACACCGGUGGCGAAGGCGACCUUCUGGGCCGUUUCUGACGCUGAGGCACGAAAGCGUGGGGAGCAAACAGGAUUAGAUACCCUGGUAGUCCACGCUGUAAACGAUGAUCACUAGGUGUCGGGGGUAUCAACCCCCUCGGUGCCGUAGCUAACGCGUUAAGUGAUCCGCCUGGGGAGUACGGUCGCAAGACUGAAACUCAAAGGAAUUGACGG
rnacentral:rRNA from 1 species